rnacentral:rRNA from 1 species
GUUGAACGCUGGCGGCGUGCCUAAUACAUGCAAGUCGAGCGAAGCGGCGGCGGGCGAGUAACACGUGGAUAACCUCCUCUAAGACUGGGAUGACUUCGGGAAACCGGAGCUAAACUGGCUACUUAUUGCUGGAUCCGCGCUGAAUUAGCUAGGUGGUAAGGUAACGGCUGAGCAAGGCAACGAUGCAUAGCCGACCUGAGAGGGUGAUCGGCAACACUGGAACUGAGACACGGUCCAGACUCCUACGGGAGGCAGCAGUAGGGAAUCUUCCGCAAUGGGCGAAAGCCUGACGCAGCAACGCCGCGUGAGUGAUGAAGGCCUUCGGAUCGUAAAGCUCUGUUAGUAGGGAAGCGGUACUUAAUCAGGAAGCCACGGCUAACUACGUGCCAGCAGCCGCGGUAAUUC